CUAAAUCAGAUUAGUACGGAGUUGGAACGUUCGCCUACCUUUGCCGCUAGGAGCGCUGUUUCAACUGUAUACUAAUUUGAGUUA
rnacentral:pre_miRNA from 1 species